rnacentral:rRNA from 1 species
UACAGAGGUGGCAAGCGUUGUUCGGAAUUACUGGGCGUAAAGGGCGCGUAGGCGGCCUGUCAAGUCCUGUGUGAAAGCCCCCGGCUCAACCGGGGAACUGCACGGGAAACUAGCAGGCUUGAGUUCGGGAGAGGGAAGCGGAAUUUCGGGUGUAGCGGUGAAAUGCGUAGAUAUCUGGAGGAACACCGGUGGCGAAGGCGGCAUCCUGGACCGGUAUUGACGCUGAGGCGCGAAAGCUAGGGGAGCAAACGGG